ensembl:tRNA
ACCCGUGUAGCCUAAAUGGAUAAGGCAUCGGUCUCCUAAACCAAAGGAUGCGGGUUCGAGUCCUGCCACGGGUG